GCUAUCGUCUUCUAACGGCUAGGAACACAGGCCUUCAACCUGCGAGAUACGGGUUCGACCCCCGUCGAUAGUACCA
rnacentral:tRNA from 1 species